rnacentral:rRNA from 1 species
CAGUCGCCGCGGGAAUACAGAGGGUGCAAGCGUUAAUCGGAUUUACUGGGCGUAAAGGGCGCGUAGGUGGUUAUGUAAGUGAGAUGUGAAAUCCCCGGGCUCAACCUGGGAACUGCAUCUUAUACUGCGUAGCCGGAGUGCAGUAGAGGGUAGUGGAAUUUCCGGUGUAGCGGUGAAAUGCGUAGAUAUCGGAAGGAACACCAGUGGCGAAGGCGGCUACCUGGACUGACACUGACACUGAGGCGCGAGAGCGUGGGGAGCAAACAGGAUUAGAUACCCCAGUAGUCCCUGUGUCUUAUAC